UACGUAGGGUGCGAGCGUUAAUCGGAAUUACUGGGCGUAAAGCGUGCGCAGGCGGUCUGUUAAGACCGAUGUGAAAUCCCCGGGCUCAACCUGGGAACUGCAUCUGUGACUGCAUCGCUGGAGUGCGGCAGAGGGGGAUGGAAUUCCGCGUGUAGCAGUGAAAUGCGUAGAUAUUCGCAAGAACACCAGUGGCGAAGGCGGCGCACUGGACCAUAACUGACGCUGAGGCGCGAAAGCUAGGGGAGCAAACAGG
rnacentral:rRNA from 1 species